GACGAACGCUGGCGGCGUGCUUAACACAUGCAAGUCGAAGCGGUAAGGCCCUUUCGGGGGUACACGAGCGGCGAACGGGUGAGUAACACGUGGGUGACCUGCCUUUAGCUCUGGGAUAAGCCUGGGAAACUGGGUCUAAUACCGGAUACGACUCCGCGGUGCAUGCUGUGGGUGGAAAGCCUUGUGCGGCUGGAGAUGGGCCCGCGGCCUAUCAGCUUGUUGGUGGGGUGAUGGCCUACCAAGGCGACGACGGGUAGCCGGCCUGAGAGGGCGACCGGCCACACUGGGACUGAGACACGGCCCAGACUCCUACGGGAGGCAGCAGUGGGGAAUCUUGCGCAAUGGGCGAAAGCCUGACGCAGCGACGCCGCGUGAGGGAUGACGGCCU
rnacentral:rRNA from 1 species